rnacentral:rRNA from 1 species
UACGUAGGGGGCUAGCGUUGUCCGGAAUCAUUGGGCGUAAAGAGCGUGUAGGCGGCCCGGUAAGUCCGCUGUAAAAGUCAAAGGCUCAACCUUUGAAUGUCAGUGGAUACUGCCGGGCUAGAGUCCGGAAGAGGCGAGUGGAACUCCUGGUGUAGCGGUGGAAUGCGUAGAUAUCUGGAGGAAUACCGGUGGCGAAGGCGGCAAGUCCUGGACCGGCAUUGGACGCUGACGGAGCGAA